CAGAGGACCCAACAAACUCUUUUGAAUUUUUCAGUAUCUUCUGAGUAAAAAACAAAUAAAUCAAAACUUUCAACAACGGAUCUCUUGGUUCUGGCAUCGAUGAAGAACGCAGCGAAAUGCGAUAAGUAAUGUGAAUUGCAGAAUUCAGUGAAUCAUCGAAUCUUUGAACGCACAUUGCGCCCGCCAGUAUUCUGGCGGGCAUGCCUGUUCGAGCGUCAUUUCAACCCUCAAGCUCAGCUUGGUGUUGGGGAUCGGCAAGGCGUCCUCCGGGUCGCGCCGUCCCCCAAAUUUAGUGGCGGUCUCGCUGUAGCUUCCUCUGCGUAGUAAUACACCUCGCUCUGGAGUCUCGGUGCGGCCACGCCGU
rnacentral:rRNA from 1 species